GCGAGCUGAAUUCAAAGAUCCCUUCGGGGUGAUUUGUUGGACGCUAGCGGCGGAUGGGUGAGUAACACGUGGGCAAUCUGCCCUAAAGACUGGGAUACCACUUGGAAACAGGUGCUAAUACCGGAUAACAACAUGAAUCGCAUGAUUCAAGUUUGAAAGGCGGCGCAAGCUGUCACUUUAGGAUGAGCCCGCGGCGCAUUAGCUAGUUGGUGGGGUAAAGGCCUACCAAGGCAAUGAUGCGUAGCCGAGUUGAGAGACUGAUCGGCCACAUUGGGACUGAGACACGGCCCAAACUCCUACGGGAGGCAGCAGUAGGGAAUCUUCCACAAUGGACGCAAGUCUGAUGGAGCAACGCCGCGUGAGUGAAGAAGGUUUUCGGAUCGUAAAGCUCUGUUGUUGGUGAAGAAGGAUAGAGGCAGUAACUGGUCUUUAUUUGACGGUAAUCAACCAGAAAGUCACGGCUAACUACGUGCCAGCAGCCGCGGUAAUACGUAGGUGGCAAGCGUUGUCCGGAUUUAUUGGGCGUAAAGCGAGCGCAGGCGGAAUGAUAAGUCUGAUGUGAAAGCCCACGGCUCAACCGUGGAACUGCAUCGGAAACUGUCAUUCUUGAGUGCAGAAGAGGAGAGUGGAAUUCCAUGUGUAGCGGUGGAAUGCGU
rnacentral:rRNA from 1 species